rnacentral:rRNA from 1 species
UACGUAGGGUGCAAGCGUUGUCCGGAAUUAUUGGGCGUAAAGAGCUCGUAGGCGGUCCGUCACGUCGGGCGUGAAAACCCAGGGCUCAACCCUGGGCCUGCGUUCGAUACGGGCGGGACUAGAGUUCGGUAGGGGAGACUGGAAUUCCUGGUGUAGCGGUGAAAUGCGCAGAUAUCAGGAGGAACACCGGUGGCGAAGGCGGGUCUCUGGGCCGAUAUUGACGCUGAGGAGCGAAAGCGUGGGGAGCGAACAGG